rnacentral:rRNA from 1 species
AGAGUUUGAUCCUGGCUCAGGAUGAACGCUAGCGGGAGGCCUAAUACAUGCAAGUCGAACGCUCUGAUUUCGGUCAGGGAGUGGCGCACGGGUGAGUAACACGUACGCAAUCUGCCUUGUGCAGGAGGAUAGCCCUGGGAAACUGGGAGUAAUACUCCAUGGUAUUGUCCAAUUGCAUGAUUGGAUAAUUAAAGCUACGGCGGCACGAGAUGAGCGUGCGUCUGAUUAGGUAGUUGGUGAGGUAACGGCUCACCAAGCCGACGAUCAGUAAGGGGCGUGAGAGCGUGGCCCCUCACACGGGUACUGAGACACGGACCCGACUCCUACGGGAGGCAGC